rnacentral:ncRNA from 1 species
GAAAGAGGUUGCGAUUUUUAAGAGUAAUUAUUUAGCUAUUCAGAUUGUUGCUAAAUAAAGAAAGGGAAAACCGCCGAAGUUUAGAAAAGGAUAUCUGAUACUUUUCUUUGCUGGGGGAUUAUAGAAUAUAUAAUUCACUGUCGUAUUAAAAGAUACGGAGCGCUUG